rnacentral:lncRNA from 1 species
CUCGGCUCUACCAAUCAGCAGGACAUGGGUGGGGCCAGAUAAGAGAAUAAAAGCAGGCUGCCGGAGCCAGCGGGGACAACCCGCUGAAGUCCAGUUCCAUGGUGUGGGAGAUUUGUUUUUUCGCUCCUUGCAAUAAAUCUUGCUACUGCUCUCUCUUUGGUUCCACACUGAUUUUAUGAGCUGUCACACUCACCACAAAGGUCUGCAGCUUCAUUCCUGAACCCAGCAAGACCACGAGCCCACAGGGAGAAACGAACAAUUCCAGACGCACCGCCUUAACAGCUGUAACGCUGCGAAGGUCUGUAGCUUCACUUCUGAGCCAGCGAGACCACGAACCACCAGGAGGGAAAAAACUCCGAACGCUUCCGAACAUCAGAAGGAACAAACGCCAGACGCGCCAUCUUAAGAGCUGUAACACUCACCACGAGGGUCCGUGGCUUCAUUCUUGAAGUCAGACCAAGAACCCACCAAUUCCAGGCACAAUCUCAUCUCUAUUUCUUUUUUAAAAUAAUAAAAUCCAAUAACAUUUUUUGUAAAGUUACUUUCUGCAGAUGGACAGAGGCCCACCCCAGAGUGUAGGAACACAAGCUAUACUUCAGCCCCACCAACCCUGGUCGUGCACCUAUGUGCAGUGCACAAACUGCCCAACUGUGCACAAUGACCCUGAUUAGAGGAGUGUUAGAUUGGAAAUCGGGUCCCACGGCAAUGGUCCAAGCAAAAGUUGCUAUGGAUCUGAACUAGAGCAGUGGAAGGUGGGAAGGAAAGGGGU